CUUAUUCCCAGUACCAGAGUCCAGCUCAUUCCUUUACGUGUUUUUUUUUUUAUGAGUCAUGCUGGUGCACAGCUGCCCUCCUCUUCCAUCUGGACCACAAAAAAAGCAGAAGAGAAAACCUCAGCACAGCGAACAUCUUUAUUUAUUUGUCAGUUCUGUCUCUCUGCUUUUAAAACCACCCAUGAUUGCACCCCCGCUCCUCCCGUCCGCUCAGUAAAAACACUCCGCUGUCAUAACAGGAGAGACGGCCGCUGAGGGAGGGAGCGAAGAAGAAAUAGAGAAGAUGUUCACAACUCCCUCGCACAGACCUCACCUCUACAACCAGACCCUGGGUUUAACACAAUUCAGUCUGCUUGGAAACUGUGUUAGCCAGCAGCAAAGAGACACAGCGAGGGCUAAUAGGUGCCGUGAAAGCCCCGAGUCCAGAGCCAAUUGAAUCGACCACAACAGCUUUGUUCCCCUUCUGCAGCGCAGCAGGAGGCUCUAUGGCUUUUAUUGCUCACAUAUCGUUUUUGUUAUGAGCUUGUUACAUCUGGGUUUAUUCUCCUGUCAAGUUUUUGAUAGAGGACACACAACUAGGUGCAUGUUUUGUGAAUAAUCCAGUUAUUAGGACAAACAAAUAACAAAGCUCAGUUAACAGAUGUUGUGUAGGAGUGGAGUCAGAAACCGUAGAUGUCUGAAAACUUACAGUAGAUAUCAUAUUGAGUUUUGUUUUAUGCUUUAAUUUGAGUAAGCAAACAACUCAGAACAGGAAAUGUGUUCUUCUAAAGAUUAAACUUCAUCUUUUUCACAUCAGUUAGACCAACAUUUAUCUUUAGCUUUCAGGAAGGGCAGUACUAAAAUAAAUACCCAUACCUUUUAAUAUUGCAGUGUAGAAAUUAUCUUCUACAGCAUUCAAAAUAAUAAUAAAAAAAAUAAAAGGAUUAAAAUCAAAAUUUACUUUUUGUACCAUACUGUAAACUGGCAAGUAAAUUGCCCUUUUUCAGAAUGAUGUAAUAUAAUAAUAAUUAGGGAUUCAUUUAUUCGUUUAUCUCUUUUUUUGCAGCAGAAUUCAACUUCUUGAUGAAGUUUAAUCUACAUUUAUUAAUUGCAUUUAUUUGUGUAAUGCGUUUUGUAUCCGUCUGAAUCGGCACAGUAAUAACGUCCUAAAAAGUGGAGCACAGCAGAAUAUUUAGUGUUGCAGACGUCUUUGUUAAUGGUGUAAAAUCAUCCAAGCAUCAAGUGUUUUUUAAAUAUAUUUUGGGGGGCUUUCAUGCCUCUAUUGGAGGGUCAGGGCAGUGGAUAGAGUCAGUAAUCUGGAUGAGAGAGCGGGGGAGUGACAUGCAGGAAAGGAGCCACAGGUUAGGUCUGAUGCCUGCUCCAAUGACUACCUCCUUCAUACAUGGGGCGCGCACACUAACCACUAGGCCACUGUGGCGCCCCACAUUCAUCAGGUUUUUAAGCUACUGUACAAUCAGAGCAUCUUGGCUUUAGAUCGACUUUCCUAAGGGGUAAGUUUACUUCACUUUCCUCUGACCUUCCAUCUGCCGCAGUGUUUGGAUUUCAAGUGUUCGUUCUCUGUAAACUCUGCUCGUCAGCCCGCAGAGUCCAGAGUACUUCUGCUCUAUUACCAGAUCUUUAGUUACACUCAUUUGUCAUUCUCGAUCAUCAUCAGUGCUUUAUUAUGACUGCAAUGAAAACUGCUCGGGACAAGUUUAAACAUCACAUAUCAGGACCCCAGAAAUCUGGAUUUACAGUAAGUACUGUAAAUACAGAGUUCAGUGAGGUUAAAGUCAUGACUAAUAUCUGUUCAGAGCAGGACUGCAAAUAACAACUAGAGUGUCACAAACUUUUGAAAAUGCCCGUUAAACACAACUUAAACUGAAAGACCUUCAGUUUACUAUAAUGAAGCACCAAGGACAGCUUUAAAUCUUUACAUUUUAGAAGCAGCAAAAGUUACUAAAUUACAGGAUAUGUUGCCUUUUUAAAAACGUUUUUGCAUAUGUAAAAAUUCAUCUGAGGACAUGUUAUACAGCCCUUAUUCCUCAAGCAGCUGUUGGUUCUUGCUGACACGUCUGGCUCUCAGUGAUGAAUCUCGGCUCUCAAUCAUUCGUCCGUUACAGUGUUUACGCAGCCCCGUAACUGAAGCAUUUUCUUUGCGUUCCUCGCACACCGAGUCAUAACCAUGUCGUCCUGUGUCUGCUCGGUGCAGGCUGUUUACCUCAUGUGUGAAUGUGUGU